CAAAAUGAGCGAGGGGGACUCAGGGGCACACACCCCUCGGAGCAACGUGACGAAGAUGCGAGGAUGUGACGUGCAGCACAGAUGUCACAGCAACGCUCUCUACCAACUUUGCAUGGAGUAUGCUCUAUAAGAGUGUCAUCACUGUGGUCGACACCGGAAGCUAAUUCAAUACCCCUUGCAAGAGAUAGUACCUGCCUUGGAAGCAAAGAGCAGGCAUGCUGACUACCCAACUGGAAAGCAGUGUGUUCCCCAAGUUCAGGCUCCUUCAUUACACACCCCACUGUGUGUGCGGCCUCCUCACCCUGCCCUGUGGAAAGCUGGGCUCAGUGAACCAUGCAAAAUGCUGCUGCUCUAGCUGCUGCCAUGGCUGAGAGAGAGCAGUUGGUCUCCUAUGUUCUGUCAGUAUCCGUGGGACUGUGACAAGCCAACUGGUUAGCUUGCCGUUGGGAGAAACUUCG
ensembl:lncRNA